rnacentral:rRNA from 1 species
UACAGAGGGUGCAAGCGUUAAUCGGAAUUACUGGGCGUAAAGCGUGCGUAGACGGUUACAUAAGUCGGGUGUGAAAUCCCCGGGCUUAACCUGGGAACCGCAUUUGUGACUGCAUAGCUGGAGUACGGCAGAGGGGGAUGGAAUUCCGCGUGUAGCAGUGAAAUGCGUAGAUAUGCGGAGGAACACCGAUGGCGAAGGCAGUCCCCUGGGCCUGUACUGACGCUCAUGCACGAAAGCGUGGGGAGCAAACAGG